UCGGGAAUUUUGGGCAAUGGGCGAAAGCCUGACCCAGCAACGCCGCGUGAGGGAUGAAGUAUUUCGGUAUGUAAACCUCGAAAGAAUGGGAAGAAUAAAUGACGGUACCAUUUAUAGGCUCCGGCUAACUACGUGCCAGCAGCCGCGGUAAUACGUAGGGAGCAAGCGUUGUUCGGAUUUACUGGGCGUAAAGGGCGCGUAGGCGGCGCGGUAAGUCACUUGUGAAAUCUCUGAGCUUAACUCAGAACGGCCAAGUGAUACUGCUGUGCUAGAGUGCGGAAGAGGCGACCGGAAUUCUUGGUGUAGCGGUGAAAUGCGUAGAUAUCAAGAGGAACACCUGAGGCGAAGGCGGGUUGCUGGGCCGACACUGACGCUGAUGCGCGAAAGCCAGG
rnacentral:rRNA from 1 species